GACGAACGCUGGCGGCGUGCUUAACACAUGCAAGUCGAACGGUGAACCUCUUCGGAGGGGAUCAGUGGCGAACGGGUGAGUAACACGUGGGCAACCUGCCCCCGGCUCUGGGAUAACUCCAAGAAAUUGGGGCUAAUACCGGAUGUUCACCGCUUCCCGCAUGGGUGGUGGUGGAAAGGGUUUCCGGCUGGGGAUGGGCCCGCGGCCUAUCAGCUUGUUGGUGGGGUAGUGGCCUACCAAGGCGACGACGGGUAGCCGACCUGAGAGGGUGACCGGCCACACUGGGACUGAGACACGGCCCAGACUCCUACGGGAGGCAGCAGUGGGGAAUAUUGCGCAAUGGGCGGAAGCCUGACGCAGCGACGCCGCGUGGGGGAUGACGGCCUUCGGGUUGUAAACCUCUUUCAGCAGGGACGAAGCGCAAGUGACGGUACCUGCAGAAGAAGCACCGGCCAACUACGUG
rnacentral:rRNA from 1 species